rnacentral:lncRNA from 1 species
CUCUCCCUUUUUGACAACAUCAAAAGUGCAAGAGAAAGAUUUAAAAAAAUAUCAUCAAAAUCAACUCAAAUUCAAAUGUGUACGUAUUCAAUUUUCAAAAAUUGAUUUAAGUUCACUUCCUUUCAAAUUUAACUUGAAUUUAACUUUCAAAUAUAGAUUUUCUAACUUCUCCCCUUUUAAAAUCUUAUUUUUUGAAAGUUGAUAAAAAAAUCAAUAUAGAUUCAAAAG